GACCGCGUAGCUCAGUUUGCAGAGCAUUGGGCUAGUAUUCCAAAGGUCGUAGGUUCGAUUCCCACCGUGGCCA